rnacentral:rRNA from 1 species
UACGUAGGGGGCAAGCGUUAUCCGGAUUUACUGGGUGUAAAGGGGGCGCAGACGGCAGCGCAAGCCAGGAGUGAAAGCCCGGGGCCCAACCCCGGGACUGCUCUUGGAACUGCGCGGCUGGAGUGCUGGAGAGGCAAUCGGAAUUCCGUGUGUAGCGGUGAAAUGCGUAGAUAUACGGAGGAACACCAGUGGCGAAGGCGGAUUGCUGGACAGUAACUGACGCUGAGGCGCGAAAGCGUGGGGAGCAAACAGG